ACGAGUUUAGAGCAGACCGAGUCAGCGACAUGUCGCCGCAAAAUGCGUCGGCGAGCUCUCGAAACUCUUUCAUCAGGGGUUGUUCAUGGCUAAACUUGGCCAACCAAGCCUACCGAUGCCGAUGUGCCGUACAAUCAGGUCAUCUGUUAACAAAUCUCACGUUGAUGUUCCAGUUUUAUACAACAAAAUCGGUAGAAACUAUGUCAAGGAUUUGACUUUUUUCAGAUUGACGCGCUUAAAUUCGUCUAUAAAAGUAGAAAUAAUUAUGAGCCGAAAUUUGAAAUCUAGUAGACCUAAAUUUUAUUCAAAUUCUUCUCGUUCAAGGUUGUCCGAAGGUCAAUAAAUUCGUAUCAUUAAAUUCCAAUGACUUUUUCUUCUUCCUCUUCUUCUUUCUUAUUUUUUUUUUUCACAUUUAUUAGAAAUAAAUAUAAAUGUCAACUGUAGAUGAAAUAAUGAUUGUAAUCGAUAUUACGAGAAAGGAUGGUUACGAUUGCGGACAGGUGUGAUACCAGACAAGUUCUUGCCGACGAUAUGUUCGUGUCCAUGUUAUAUGUAAAAUGUGUCUCAAAAGAUAAGGAGAGAGUUGAGAAUAAGAAGAAGGGAGAGAAGUAGAAGCCGGGGAAAAGAUAUAAAUACAGUCUAUAGAAGGUUGUGAGUGCGUGUGUGUAAAUAUUGUACUAGUCUAACGUGUAUAAAGAUAGAAGGAAAUGGGGCAUUUUCGAAGAAAAACAAAUGUAGGAGAGAGAAAAUUUAGAAAGAAGUGCAUUAUAAAUUUGUUCUGUAAAUUGAAGCUUUUUAACUUGAAUAAAGAUGUUUGAGAAAA